GACGCGGUGGCCUAAUGGUAAUUAAGGCGUUGGACUCCGGAUCGAGCUUUCCGGGUUCGAGUCCUGGUCAGGGUCA